GACGAACGCUGGCGGCGUGCUUAACACAUGCCAGUCGAACGGUGAAGCUCCAGCUUGCUGGAGUGGAUCAGUGGCGAACGGGUGAGUAACACGUGAGCAACCUGCCCCUGACUCUGGAAUAAGCGCUGGAAACGGCGUCUAAUACUGGAUACGAGAAGGGCCCGCAUGGGCACUUUCUGGAAAGUUUUUCGGUUGGGGAUGGGCUCGCGGCCUAUCAGCUUGUUGGUGAGGUAAUGGCUCACCAAGGCGACGACGGGUAGCCGGCCUGAGAGGGCGACCGGCCACACUGGGACUGAGACACGGCCCAGACUCCUACGGGAGGCAGCAGUGGGGAAUAUUGCACAAUGGGCGAAAGCCUGAUGCAGCGACGCCGCGUGAGGGAUGACGGCCUUCGGGUUGUAAACCUCUUUCAGCAGGGAAGAAGCGAAAGUGACGGUACCUGCAGAAGAAGCACCGGCUAACUACGUG
rnacentral:rRNA from 1 species